rnacentral:rRNA from 1 species
CCUACGGGUGGCAGCAGUGAGGAAUAUUGGUCAAUGGACGAGAGUCUGAACCAGCCCAGUAGCGUGAAGGAUGACUGCCCUAUGGGUUGUAAACUUCUUUUAUAUGGGAAUAAAACGUUCCACGUGUGGGAUUUUGUAUGUACCAUAUGACUAAGGAUCGGCUAACUCCGUGCCAGCAGCCGCGGUAAUACGGAGGAUCCGAGCGUUAUCCGGAUUUAUUGGGUUUAAAGGGAGCGUAGGUGGAUUGUUAAGUCAGUUGUGAAAGUUUGCGGCUCAACCGUAAAAUUGCAGUUGAAACUGGCAGUCUUGAGUACAGUAGAGGUGGGCGGAAUUCGUGGUGUAGCGGUGAAAUGCUUAGAUAUCACGAAGAACUCCGAUUGCGAAGGCAGUUCACUGGACUGCAACUGACACUGAGGCUCGAAAGUGUGGGUAUCAAACAGGAUUAGAUACCCCAGUAGUC